AAUACCGCGUAACACCUUUUGGGAGCAUUCCCGGGAGGUUAAAGGAGAGAUCCGGCAUAGGAUGGACAUGCGUCGCAUUAGGUAGACGGCGGGGUAACGGCCCACCGUGCCGACGAUGCGUAGGGGUUCUGAGAGGAAGGCCCCCCACACUGGUACUGAGACACGGACCAGACUCCUACGGGAGGCAGCAGUGAGGAAUAUUGGUCAAUGGCCGAGAGGCUGAACCAGCCAAGUCGCGUGAGGGAAGAAUGUCCUAAGGAUUGUAAACCUCUUUUGUCGGGGAGCAAAAAGGCUCUGCGGAGUCGUAUUGAGAGUACCCGAAGAAAAAGCAUCGGCUAACUCCGUGCCAGCAGCCGCGGUAAUACGGAGGAUGCGAGCGUUAUCCGGAUUUAUUGGGUUUAAAGGGUGUGCAGGCGGCGUGUCAAGCAAGCGGUAAAAUAGCGGGGCUCAACCCCGUCGAGCCGUUUGAACUGGCGCGCUUGAGUUCAGGCGAGGUAGGCGGAAUUCGUGGUGUAGCGGUGAAAUGCAUAGAUAUCACGAAGAACUCCGAUUGCGAAGGCAGCUUACCAGUCUGCGACUGACGCUCAGGCACGAAAGUGUGGGUAUCGAACAGGAUUAGAUACCCUGGUAGUCCACACAGUAAACGAUGAGCGCUAGGUGUCCGGGUCGCAUGAGACUUGGGUGCCCGAGC
rnacentral:rRNA from 1 species